rnacentral:rRNA from 1 species
GCCUACGGCCAUACCACCCUGAAAGCGCCCGAUCUCGUCUGAUCUCGGAAGCUAAGCAGGGACGGGCUUGGUUAGUACCUGGAUGGGAGACCGCCUGGGAAUACCAGGUGUUGAAGGCU